UACGUAGGGGGCGAGCGUUGUCCGGAGUUACUGGGCGUAAAGCGCACGCAGGCGGUCUGCUAAGUUUGGAGUGACAGUUGGUGGCUUAACUGCCAAAGUGCUUCGAAAACUGACAGACUUGAGGGCUUCAGAGGGGCACGGAAUUCCGGGUGGAGUGGUGAAAUGCGUAGAGAUCCGGAGGAACACCAAAGGCGAAGGCGGCUACCUGGACAAUUGCUGACGCUCAGGCACGAAAGCGUGGGGAGCAAAAGGG
rnacentral:rRNA from 1 species